CCUGUUACGUCUCAUUCCACCCCCUCACCUCCUCGCCAAACACAUCCUGGAUGUAAAUACAUGUGUGUUGUAUUCUUUUCUGGUACGCGUAAAACAAUCCAAAAGAAACACGCAAACAAAAACACAAUAUAAGGAGGCCUCCUUGUUGCGCGCGCCGUUCGGGCGUCUGUGAGUGGACGUGAAGGUAUGCCUGUGCGCCGCGCCCCUCUCCCGUCCUCUCGGUGUUAUUGCUUCUUUCCGUUGUGCCGAUGUGUUUUAAAGAUACGCUUUUUCUGUGGUGUGAGUUUUUCCUCUCCCUUCGGCAGGCUUCGCCCUCCCCUCCCCCCCCACACACACACGCCUCAUCUCUCUCGCUCACUGAGUCAGGCGGAGACACCCUCGCACUUGCCCCAUCAUUGGCGAAGAGGGCCUAUGCAUGUUCUGCUAAGGGCCACCGACGAAGCGGAACGUCGGAGAACAGAAGAAAGAGCAGCCUGAGCACCAACAUCGGCAGCCACACCUCGUACUCCCUUGUCUUUUGGCGUCUCGCGCGUCCCCUGGACCGCGGCGGCUCGCGGUGAUGGUUUUAUAGCCCGGUAUAUGCUAAGGUGUUGGCGCGCUGACAAGGGCAAGAGUUCAGCGAAACAGACAGACAAGCACGGGAGGGCUCAGAGGGCGCCGGGCCUCCGUCAACUAGAUGCCCUCACACACGCACGCAAGCCUCCCACAGGAUGCAUGCAUACACGGAAAAAAAAGGCAUGUCUCCCAUGCGAUGACACUCCGUCUGUGUGUGUGUGUGUGUGUGGAGGGUUUUUUUGCGUGUAUGGGCGGGUAUGCGUCAUCCCCAUCCUGUCCGCUUGCAGCGGCAACGCUGAGGCCAUUCGCUUGGAAUCGUAUUAGGCCCCUCUUCAUUGUCGCGGCGCCCACCUCUGUUUUGUUUCGCUAUGCCGAGCAGCGAUAAAACGGAGGCACGCGAAGCAGCAGCGCAAAAGAAAAAGGAAACAUAUUUACAAUGACGGAGGGCAGCGACCAUUCAGGUGUGGGGAGGAGCUGUCAGCGCUUUCCUCUCCCCCGCCCAUCACCACGCGCUGUUGUGUGUGUGUGUGUUUCCGCCAGUAACGUGGACCAAUAGAGGAAGUAGCUAUCCCUUCGGCAUCUGAGAUAUGCGGAGAGCGUAGGCUCUCCGCAGUAGCAGGAGCUGGCGCAGACGCAUGUAGGUGGCGAGGCAGAGAUGUGAGCAGCCCAUUGAGCACAGAAAAGGCGCACCCCCGGUCACGACCCUUGACAGUCAUGUGCUCUCGACUGGUACGGCCUCGAACGCGCGAUGCUGCUCAUUACAGCCUACCCCUUCUAUCCCCUGCAUUUCACACUGCCCAUCUUUCUCACAAAUUCCCUGUUUAUCGCAUGCCAUCUCAAG
rnacentral:misc_RNA from 1 species